rnacentral:rRNA from 1 species
UACGGAGGGGGCUAGCGUUGUUCGGAAUUACUGGGCGUAAAGCGCACGUAGGCGGCUUUGUAAGUUAGAGGUGAAAGCCUGGAGCUCAACUCCAGAAUUGCCUUUAAGACUGCAUCGCUUGAAUCGCGGAGAGGUGAGUGGAAUUCCGAGUGUAGAGGUGAAAUUCGUAGAUAUUCGGAAGAAACACCAGUGGCGAAGGCGACUCACUGGACGCGUAUUGACGCUGAGGUGCGAAAGCGUGGGGAGCAAACAGG